GUCCUUGUAGCUUAAUAUAAAGCAUAGCACUGAAGAUGCUAGGAUGGUCCUAGACCCAGGGACA